rnacentral:lncRNA from 1 species
AACAAUAGAAUUGCGGUGGGACCACAUACGUUCCAGCAUCUUCACCAGAUGUUCAGGUUUCCACUUCGUAGCGUCCUUCAUAUGCUCAUGCUCGGUCCUAUCUACUACACGAUGACCCUGUCUAUAGAACAUACUAAUCUGUGUGUGUGUGUGUUACAUGGUUGGGGGUGCGUGACCCCAUACCUGUAAGACUACCCAUACGAGCCGAGGGCCCAAGGGCAAUACUACAACGCCUAAAAGCCACGGAGAAAAAGGAAAAAACACCGCACAUCAGCCCAGACUAACGUCCAAAGGGGGUAAUUGAGUUUCGGUGAGCCCACAUACGUUCCAACAUCCUCGCCAGACGUGCGGGUUCCCAUUGCAUGGCCUCCAACAUACUCUGUUGAUGAUCGAAUCCCUCUUCAGCACGAAUAUCAUUAUAGGCUGGGCAUUCCAAUAACAUGUGUUUUUCAUCCUCAAUUCGGCUAUUAGGACCACAACAGUGGCAAAACCGCUGCCCCCUGGGGACAUGGUACUUGCCCCUUCGUGCUCUGUUCGCCUCCAAAGCCCAGCA